UUUAUGGAGAGUUUGAUCCUGGCUCAGGAUGAACGCUGGCGGCGUGCCUAAUACAUGCAAGUCGAGCGAACGGACGAGAAGCUUGCUUCUCUGAUGUUAGCGGCGGACGGGUGAGUAACACGUGGAUAACCUACCUAUAAGACUGGGAUAACUUCGGGAAACCGGAGCUAAUACCGGAUAAUAUUUUGAACCGCAUGGUUCAAAAGUGAAAGACGGUCUUGCUGUCACUUAUAGAUGGAUCCGCGCUGCAUUAGCUAGUUGGUAAGGUAACGGCUUACCAAGGCAACGAUGCAUAGCCGACCUGAGAGGGUGAUCGGCCACACUGGAACUGAGACACGGUCCAGACUCCUACGGGAGGCAGCAGUAGGGAAUCUUCCGCAAUGGGCGAAAGCCUGACGGAGCAACGCCGCGUGAGUGAUGAAGGUCUUCGGAUCGUAAAACUCUGUUAUUAGGGAAGAACAUAUGUGUAAGUAACUGUGCACAUCUUGACGGUACCUAAUCAGAAAGCCACGGCUAACUACGUGCCAGCAGCCGCGGUAAUACGUAGGUGGCAAGCGUUAUCCGGAAUUAUUGGGCGUAAAGCGCGCGUAGGCGGUUUUUUAAGUCUGAUGUGAAAGCCCACGGCUCAACCGUGGAGGGUCAUUGGAAACUGGAAAACUUGAGUGCAGAAGAGGAAAGUGGAAUUCCAUGUGUAGCGGUGAAAUGCGCAGAGAUAUGGAGGAACACCAGUGGCGAAGGCGACUUUCUGGUCUGUAACUGACGCUGAUGUGCGAAAGCGUGGGGAUCAAACAGGAUUAGAUACCCUGGUAGUCCACGCCGUAAACGAUGAGUGCUAAGUGUUAGGGGGUUUCCGCCCCUUAGUGCUGCAGCUAACGCAUUAAGCACUCCGCCUGGGGAGUACGACCGCAAGGUUGAAACUCAAAGGAAUUGACGGGGACCCGCACAAGCGGUGGAGCAUGUGGUUUAAUUCGAAGCAACGCGAAGAACCUUACCAAAUCUUGACAUCCUUUGACAACUCUAGAGAUAGAGCCUUCCCCUUCGGGGGACAAAGUGACAGGUGGUGCAUGGUUGUCGUCAGCUCGUGUCGUGAGAUGUUGGGUUAAGUCCCGCAACGAGCGCAACCCUUAAGCUUAGUUGCCAUCAUUAAGUUGGGCACUCUAAGUUGACUGCCGGUGACAAACCGGAGGAAGGUGGGGAUGACGUCAAAUCCCAUCAUGCCCCUUAUGAUUUGGGCUACACACGUGCUACAAUGGACAAUACAAAGGGCAGCGAAACCGCGAGGUCAAGCAAAUCCCAUAAAGUUGUUCUCAGUUCGGAUUGUAGUCUGCAACUCGACUACAUGAAGCUGGAAUCGCUAGUAAUCGUAGAUCAGCAUGCUACGGUGAAUACGUUCCCGGGUCUUGUACACACCGCCCGUCACACCACGAGAGUUUGUAACACCCGAAGCCGGUGGAGUAACCUUUUAGGAGCUAGCCGUCGAAGGUGGGACAAAUGAUUGGGGUGAAGUCGUAACAAGGUAGCCGUAUCGGAAGGUGCGGCUGGAUCACCUCCUUUCU
rnacentral:rRNA from 2 species